AGAAGGGGAGGGUGCGGCUGCAGAGAAUUGAGACUUAGAAGCUUUGAAUUCCUGUAUCUGAGAACGGAGUCGUUGGGGGUGGUGGAGGGGGUUGGAAUUGGGGACCUACGGAAGGUGAGGAUCAGCCUCCAGGCACAACAGGGGAGAGGACGUUCAGUGGGCUUCAACUUGACCCAGGCCUUCUCCCCUUCAGGCUCAGCUCUUGCCAGGCCAAAUUGAGACAUGUCUGACACCAGCGAGAGUGGUGCAGGUCUAACUCGCUUCCAGGCUGAAGCUUCAGAAAAGGACAGUAGCUCGAUGAUGCAGACCCUGUUGGCAGUGACCCAGAAUGUGGAGGUCCCAGAGACACCGAAGGCCUCAAAGGCACUGGAGGUCUCAGAGGAUGUGAAGGUCUCAAAAGCCUCUGGGGUCUCAAAGGCCACAGAGGUCUCAAAGACCCCAGAGGCUCAGGAGGCACCUGCCACCCAGGCCUCAUCUACUACUCAGCUGACUGAUACCCAGGUUCUGGCAGCUGAAAACAAGAGUCUAGCAGCUGACACCAAGAAACAGAAUGCUGACCCGCAGGCUGUGACAAUGCCUGCCACUGAGACCAAAAAGGUCAGCCAUGUGGCUGAUACGAAGGUCAAUACAAAGGCCCAGGAGACUGAGGCUUCACCCUCUCAGGCCCCAGCAGAUGAACCUGAGCCUGAGAGUGCAGCUGCCCAGUCUCAGGAGAAUCAGGAUACUCGGCCCAAGGUCAAAGCCAAGAAAGCCCGAAAGGUGAAGCAUCUGGAUGGGGAAGAGGAUGGCAGCAGUGAUCAGAGUCAGGCUUCUGGAACCACAGGUGGCCGAAGGGUCUCAAAGGCCCUAAUGGCCUCAAUGGCCCGCAGGGCUUCAAGGGGUCCCAUAGCCUUUUGGGCCCGCAGGGCAUCAAGGACUCGGUUGGCUGCUUGGGCCCGGAGAGCCUUGCUCUCCCUGAGAUCACCUAAAGCCCGUAGGGGCAAGGCUCGCCGUAGAGCUGCCAAGCUCCAGUCAUCCCAAGAGCCUGAAGCACCACCACCUCGGGAUGUGGCCCUUUUGCAAGGGAGGG
rnacentral:sRNA from 1 species